AUUAAAAUGUUUUUUUUUUUUUUUUUUUUUGAUUUAAUUAGAAGAAGUAUAUUUAAUUUUAUUAAUUUGGUUUGAAAAAAUUGUAUUUAAUUAUAGGAUAUAGUACUGUGAAGGAUAUUUUUUUUUAUUUUUAAAGCAUAACUUAUUAUUAGUACCUUUGGUAUCAGGGUUAAUUUAAUUAUAAUUAAGGGUUUAGUUAUCCCGAAUUCAAAAGAGUUAUGAUAGUAUUUAUUUUACUGUAGAAGAAGUAUUUGAAAUGUUAUUAUUGAAAUGAAACGUUAUUCGUUUUUGAAUAUAUCUGGUUUUUUGAGAAACGAAUUUAAUUUGUUUACUUUAUAUUAUUGAAAUAAUUUUAUAUUUUAUGAUUAAAGUGGAUUAUACUUAUAGGGAUAAGCUUGUAGGUAAAUUUCUAUAAUAGUUUAUUUAUUUAGUAAAAUAUAGGAUUAGAAUUUUCCAUUAUUAUUAGUGUGUUAUAACUAUUUAUUAAUAUUAAAUAAUUUAUAUAUUAUUUAGUUUUUUUAUUAAAAUGUCUUAAUUAAUAAAAAAUUAGGAGUGAUAAUGAUUGAAUUAGUAUAAUUUUAAUGUAUUUGUAAUUUGUAUAUUUAGGUUAGUUUAAGGAAUUCGGCAAAAUUAAUUUUCACUUGUUUAAUAAAAACAUGUCUUUUUGAAUAUUAUUUAAAGUCGAACCUGCCCAAUGAGGGUUUUAAUGGCCGCAGUAUUUUGACUGUGCAAAGGUAGCAUAAUCAUUAGUUUCUUAAUUAGGAGCUAGAAUGAAUGGUUUGAUGAGAAAUUAACUGUCUCUUACUAAUUUUAUUAUAAUUUGAAUUUUAAGUGAGAAUGCUUAAAUUUUUUAGAAAGACGAGAAGACCCUAUAGAGUUUGAUUAUUAUUUUAAUUGAAAUUUAUUUAGGGUUGGUAUUUGUUUGGUUGAGCUGAUAAUUUUGUUGGGGUGACAAAAAAAUUUAUUUAACUUUUUAAUUUUUUUACACUAAUUAGUGAUUAGUUGAUCCUGUAGGUAUGGAUUAUAAGAUUGAAUUACCUUAGGGAUAACAGCGUAAUUUUUUUUGAAAGUUCAUAUUUAUAAAAAAGUUUGCGACCUCGAUGUUGGAUUAAAAUUAAUUUUCGGUGUAGCUGCUGAAAUGAUUAGGUCUGUUCGACCUUUAAAAUUUUACAUGAUCUGAGUUUAAACCGGCGUGAGCCAGGUUGGUUUCUAUCUUUUAAUAAAGUUAAUAUGUUCUAGUACGAAAGGACCGGAUGUUAAUAUUAGAUAUUUAAUUUUGAAUUAAAUU
rnacentral:rRNA from 1 species